rnacentral:rRNA from 1 species
UGGCUCAGAACGAACGCUGGCGGCAGGCUUAACACAUGCAAGUCGAGCGCCCCGCAAGGGGAGCGGCAGACGGGUGAGUAACGCGUGGGAAUCUACCCUUGACUACGGAAUAACGCAGGGAAACUUGUGCUAAUACCGUAUGUGUCCUUCGGGAGAAAGAUUUAUCGGUCAAGGAUGAGCCCGCGUUGGAUUAGCUAGUUGGUGGGGUAAAGGCCUACCAAGGCGACGAUCCAUAGCUGGUCUGAGAGGAUGAUCAGCCACAUUGGGACUGAGACACGGCCCAAACUCCUACGGGAGGCAGCAGUGGGGAAUAUUGGACAAUGGGCGCAAGCCUGAUCCAGCCAUGCCGCGUGAGUGAUGAAGGCCCUAGGGUUGUAAAGCUCUUUCACCGGAGAAGAUAAUGA